GACGAACGCUGGCGGCGUGCUUAACACAUGCAAGUCGAGCGGUAAGGCCCUUUCGGGGGUACGACGAGCGGCGGACGGGUGAGUAACACGUGGGUGACCUGCCCUCAGCUCUGGGAUAAGCCUGGGAAACCGGGUCUAAUACUGGAUAUGACUCCAUGACGCAUGUUGUGGGGUGGAAAGCCUUGUGCGGCUGAGGAUGGGCCCGCGGCCUAUCAGCUUGGUUGGUGGGGUGA
rnacentral:rRNA from 1 species